rnacentral:rRNA from 1 species
GGCGGCAGGCCUAACACAUGCAAGUCGAACGCCCUGGCAACAGGGAGUGGCAGACGGGUGAGUAACGCGUGGGAAUCUACCUUGUGGUACGGAACAACCAAGGGAAACUUUGGCUAAUACCGUAUGAGCCCUUCGGGGGAAAGAUUUAUCGCCAUAAGAUGAGCCCGCGUAGGAUUAGCUAGUUGGUGAGGUAAUGGCUCACCAAGGCGACGAUCCUUAGCUGGUCUGAGAGGAUGACCAGCCACACUGGGACUGAGACACGGCCCAGACUCCUACGGGAGGCAGCAGUGGGGAAUAUUGGACAAUGGGCGCAAGCCUGAUCCAGCCAUGCCGCGUGUGUGAUGAAGGCCUUAGGGUUGUAAAGCACUUUCGCCGAUGAAGAUAAUGACUGUAGUCGGAGAAGAAGCCCCGGCUAACUUCGUGCCAGCAGCCGCGGUAAUACGAAGGGGGCUAGCGUUGUUCGGAAUUACUGGGCGUAAAGCGUACGUAGGCGGAUUGUUAAGUGAGGGGUGAAAUCCCGAGGCUCAACC